rnacentral:rRNA from 1 species
AUUGAACGCUGGCGGCAUGCUUUACACAUGCAAGUCGAACGGCAGCGCGGACUUCGGUCUGGCGGCGAGUGGCGAACGGGUGAGUAAUAUAUCGGAACGUACCCAGGGGUGGGGGAUAACGUAGCGAAAGUUACGCUAAUACCGCAUACGCUCUAUGGAGGAAAGCAGGGGAUCGCAAGACCUUGCGCGCUUGGAGCGGCCGAUAUCUGAUUAGCUAGUUGGUGGGGUAAAGGCUCACCAAGGCAACGAUCAGUAGCUGGUCUGAGAGGACGACCAGCCACACUGGGACUGAGACACGGCCCAGACUCCUACGGGAGGCAGCAGUGGGGAAUUUUGGACAAUGGGGGCAACCCUGAUCCAGCAAUGCCGCGUGAGUGAGGAAGGCCUUCGGGUUGUAAAGCUCUUUUGUCAGGGAAGAAACGGGCGUGGCUAAUAUCCAUGCCUAAUGACGGUACCUGAAGAAUAAGCACCGGCUAACUACGUGCCAGCAGCCGCGGUAA